AAUUCGAGAUGUGAGGCAAGUUCUUCCCUUCUGAAUCAUGAAAUGCAAGUAUCAGGGCUCGUGACCCGAUUGAAGAACCCGGAUGCACCGGCCUGACAUGAUCUUCCGUUUCGUUUGAACCGCCUUGACGGUCACCUCGGAUCGUUGUAUUGGUGGCUAUUGAACAGCCUAGACGGUGCGAGCUGCGCUGUGGCUAUUGCUUGAUCGAUCAACGACGAAAGCCGAGAAGGGAAAAGAAGAUGCAAGAAAGGGAGGUUUCAUAUCAUACGUCUUGUCUCGUCUUAGAAAUAGCUGAAGCUGCAAUCAUUUUCUUCAGGGUUAGUGUGGACCCUAUCCACAAGGGAAGAGUGUGGACCUCGGCCACAGAGGUUAGUGUGGGCCCUAUCCACAAGGGAAGAGUGUGGACCUCGGCCACAGGGGUUAGUGUGGACCCUAUCCACAAGGGAAGAGUGUGGACCUCGGCCACAGGGGUUAGUGUGGGCCUCAUCCACAGGGGAAUGAUGUGGUAUGUUUCUGAUAUGCAUUAUGUGAAAUGACACUCCCUUUUUCAGUUGUGAAUAGGGAUGUGUAUAUGUGUUUCGAUCAGUAUUCUGAAAUGACACUCCUUUACUCAGUUGUGAACAUGGACGUGUAUAUGUGUUUCGAUCCGUACUUUGUUAAUGGCACUCCCUUGUUCAGUUUUGAAUAGGGACGUGUAUAUGUGUUUUGAUCUAUAUUUCAUGAAAUGGCUCUCCCUUUUUCAGUUGAGAAUAAGGAUAUGGAUGUGAGUGUUCCUAUCAGUACUUUGUGAAAAUGUUCUUCCCUUGUUUGAGUUAAAAAAAGACAAAGAAAAAAAGAAGAAGAGGAUAUGUGCAAGUGUUUGAAGUUUGAAAUUUUGCAUGAUCAACUGCGAACUAGACAGAUUUCUGAUCUGUGAUAUGUUAUGUGGAGAUGUGAUCUCACUUUUGUUUAGAUUUUGAUUCGUUAAAAUUGUGUGAUGAUGUGUAUGUACUCGAUCAUAUAUGUUGUGAAUAAGGUACGAACUUAUGAGAUGUGGAGUAGAAAGUGUUGAUAUGUAACUUUGAAGUUCGAAAGAGACUCAAUCCUAUCUCAUGACAAAUUCUGAAUUAUCGUGUGAUGUGUAUGUGUUCAACCUUGAGAGUUAUGAAUCGAGAAAAACUCCACGUGACAUUGUGAUACGAAUUGAGACUUUAUUUCGUUUUUGUUUAAUUUUCUUUUUGUUUACAACUGUUGUGUCUUGCAGCAAAGUACUAAAUGCACAAUAUGUUAAAACCAAUAUGCUUGCUUGUUAAAUGUAGACGUAUUAUUCGCUAAUAUCCGAUUAUAUGUUUGUUAAUUUGUUACCAACCCGUUAUAAAUUUCGAGGAUGAAAUUUUCUUUAAGGGGGUGAGUAUAUAACAUCCCGACAUUAGUUAGUA